UCAGAGAUAGACCAGGAGGGACCACAACCUGUUCCUUGGGUUGUACAGCCAGGAAAGCCACACGGGAAGCUGAGGAGCGGGACAGGAAGUGGAAGUUUAAAAGAUAGGGCCCCUAGUUCAGUUUGGCUGGAGCUGUCAAAGGAGAUAGAUGCGUCUCUCCCUGGAGCAGGAUGCUGAGGAGGACUGCUGCCACCCCGAGGACUUGCUUGAGCUUCCUGAGUGCCCUGCCACUUCAAAUACUGAGAGCGGCUGGGACUACUGUUGAUGGUGUGUUCCAAGGAGAUGGACGCUGACCCCUGGAUGCAGGUACACCCCAAGGGGAAGCCUUGUCGAACAGUGGUGCAAAACUGGUUUCCUUGGCUGGAAUGCACCAGCCAAAUGUAAUGCAUCAGAUCUGAAAAACAGUGCAGAGCAGCUUCCAGUAUGAAACUUUUAAUGUGGAUCACAGGGAAUUUUUAAUCUUCGGUUCUGCAAAGCCAGAGAGAGGGCUUGUGAGACCGACCCAUUUUCUAGGGGCUGAGUGACCUACUUUAUCAGUACCAGCCAAGAAGCAGAACACAUAAGCCAUCA